rnacentral:rRNA from 2 species
ACGGGUGAGUAACACGUGGGAACGUACCCUUUACUACGGAACAACUCCGGGAAACUGGAGCUAAUACCGUAUGUGCCCUUCGGGGGAAAGAUUUAUCGGUAAAGGAUCGGCCCGCGUUGGAUUAGCUAGUUGGUGGGGUAAAGGCCUACCAAGGCGACGAUCCAUAGCUGGUCUGAGAGGAUGAUCAGCCACAUUGGGACUGAGACACGGCCCAAACUCCUACGGGAGGCAGCAGUGGGGAAUAUUGGACAAUGGGCGCAAGCCUGAUCCAGCCAUGCCGCGUGUGUGAUGAAGGCCUUAGGGUUGUAAAGCACUUUCACCGGAGAAGAUAAUGACGGUAUCCGGA